rnacentral:rRNA from 2 species
GAUUGGUGCUUGCAUCAUGAUUUACAUUUGAGUGAGUGGCGAACUGGUGAGUAACACGUGGGAAACCUGCCCAGAAGCGGGGGAUAACACCUGGAAACAGAUGCUAAUACCGCAUAACAACUUGGACCGCAUGGUCCGAGUUUGAAAGAUGGCUUCGGCUAUCACUUUUGGAUGGUCCCGCGGCGUAUUAGCUAGAUGGUGAGGUAACGGCUCACCAUGGCAAUGAUACGUAGCCGACCUGAGAGGGUAAUCGGCCACAUUGGGACUGAGACACGGCCCAAACUCCUACGGGAGGCAGCAGUAGGGAAUCUUCCACAAUGGACGAAAGUCUGAUGGAGCAACGCCGCGUGAGUGAAGAAGGGUUUCGGCUCGUAAAACUCUGUUGUUAAAGAAGAACAUAUCUGAGAGUAACUGUUCAGGUAUUGACGGUAUUUAACCAGAAAGCCACGGCUAACUACGUGCCAGCAGCCGCGGUAAUACGUAGGUGGCAAGCGUUGUCCGGAUUUAUUGGGCGUAAAGCGAGCGCAGGCGGUUUUUUAAGUCUGAUGUGAAAGCCUUCGGCUCAACCGAAGAAGUGCAUCGGAAACUGGGAAACUUGAGUGCAGAAGAGGACAGUGGAACUCCAUGUGUAGCGGUGAAAUGCGUAGAUAUAUGGAAGAACACCAGUGGCGAAGGCGGCUGUCUGGUCUGUAACUGACGCUGAGGCUCGAAAGUAUGGGUAGCAAACAGGAUUAGAUACCCUGGUAGUCCAUACCGUAAACGAUGAAUGCUAAGUGUUGGAGGGUUUCCGCCCUUCAGUGCUGCAGCUAACGCAUUAAGCAUUCCGCCUGGGGAGUACGGCCGCAAGGCUGAAACUCAAAGGAAUUGACGGGGGCCCGCACAAGCGGUGGAGCAUGUGGUUUAAUUCGAAGCUACGCGAAGAACCUUACCAGGUCUUGACAUACUAUGCAAAUCUAAGAGAUUAGACGUUCCCUUCGGGGACAUGGAUACAGGUGGUGCAUGGUUGUCGUCAGCUCGUGUCGUGAGAUGUUGGGUUAAGUCCCGCAACGAGCGCAACCCUUAUUAUCAGUUGCCAGCAUUAAGUUGGGCACUCUGGUGAGACUGCCGGUGACAAACCGGAGGAAGGUGGGGAUGACGUCAAAUCAUCAUGCCCCUUAUGACCUGGGCUACACACGUGCUACAAUGGAUGGUACAACGAGUUGCGAACUCGCGAGAGUAAGCUAAUCUCUUAAAGCCAUUCUCAGUUCGGAUUGUAGGCUGCAACUUGCCUACAUGAAGUCGGAAUCGCUAGUAAUCGCGGAUCAGCAUGCCGCGGUGAAUACGUUCCCGGGCCUUG